rnacentral:rRNA from 1 species
UACGGGGGGGGCAAGCGUUGUUCGGAAUUACUGGGCGUAAAGGGCUCGUAGGCGGCCAACUAAGUCAGACGUGAAAUCCCUCGGCUUAACCGGGGAACUGCGUCUGAUACUGGAUGGCUUGAGAUUGGGAGAGGGAUGCGGAAUUCCAGGUGUAGCGGUGAAAUGCGUAGAUAUCUGGAGGAACACCGGUGGCGAAGGCGGUUCUCUGGGCCUGACCUGACGCUGAGGAGCGAAAGCGUGGGGAGCGAACAGG